UACGGAGGGGGCUAGCGUUGUUCGGAAUUACUGGGCGUAAAGCGCGCGUAGGCGGCCCUGCAAGUCGGGGGUGAAAGCCCGAGGCUCAACCUCGGAACUGCCUUCGAUACUGCGGGUCUCGAGUCCGGGAGAGGUGAGUGGAAUUCCUAGUGUAGAGGUGAAAUUCGUAGAUAUUAGGAAGAACACCAGCGGCGAAGGCGGCUCACUGGCCCGGUACUGACGCUGAGACGCGAAAGCGUGGGGAGCAAACAGG
rnacentral:rRNA from 1 species